CCUACGGGAGGCAGCAGUGAGGAAUAUUGGUCAAUGGGCGUAAGCCUGAACCAGCCAAGUCGCGUGAGGGAUGAAGGUUCUAUGGAUCGUAAACCUCUUUUAUAAGGGAAUAAAGUGCGGGACGUGUCCCGUUUUGUAUGUACCUUAUGAAUAAGGAUCGGCUAACUCCGUGCCAGCAGCCGCGGUAAUACGGAGGAUCCGAGCGUUAUCCGGAUUUAUUGGGUUUAAAGGGUGCGUAGGCGGCUUGUUAAGUCAGCGGUGAAAGUCUGUGGCUCAACCAUAGAAUUGCAGUUGAAACUGGCAGUCUUGAGUAUGGUUGAGGCAGGCGGAAUGCGUGGUGUAGCGGUGAAAUGCUUAGAUAUCACGCAGAACCCCGAUUGCGAAGGCAGCUUGCCAAGCUAUGACUGACGCUGAUGCACGAAAGUGUGGGGAUCAAACAGGAUUAGAUACCCUUGUAGUC
rnacentral:rRNA from 1 species